rnacentral:rRNA from 1 species
GAGUGAACGCUGGCGGUAGGCCUAACCCAUGCAAGUCGAACGGCAGCACAGUAAGAGCUUGCUCUUACGAGUGGCGAGUGGCGGACGGGUGAGGAAUACAUCGGAAUCUACUUUUUCGUGGGGGAUAACGUAGGGAAACUUACGCUAAUACCGCAUACGACCUACGGGUGAAAGCAGGGGAUCUUCGGACCUUGCGCGAUUGAAUGAGCCGAUGUCGGAUUAGCUAGUUGGCGGGGUAAAGGCCCACCAAGGCGACGAUCCGUAGCUGGUCUGAGAGGAUGAUCAGCCACACUGGAACUGAGACACGGUCCAGACUCCUACGGGAGGCAGCAGUGGGGAAUAUUGGACAAUGGGCGCAAGCCUGAUCCAGCCAUACCGCGUGGGUGAAGAAGGCCUUCGGAUUGUAAAGCCCUUUUGUUGGGAAAGAAAAGCAGCAGGUUAAUACCCCGCUGUUCUGACGGUACCCAAAGAAUAAGCACCGGCUAACUUCGU